UACAGAGGUCUCAAGCGUUGUUCGGAUUCAUUGGGCGUAAAGGGUGCGUAGGCGGCGCGGUAAGUCGGGUGUGAAAUCUCGGGGCUUAACUCCGAAACUGCAUUCGAUACUACCGUGCUUGAGGACUGGAGAGGAGACUGGAAUUUACGGUGUAGCAGUGAAAUGCGUAGAUAUCGUAAGGAAGACCAGUGGCGAAGGCGGGUCUCUGGACAGUUCCUGACACUGAGACACGAAGGCCAGGGGAGCAAACGGG
rnacentral:rRNA from 1 species